GGCCCCAUGGUCAAGUGGUUAAGACAUCGCCCUUUCACGGCGGUAACCCGGGUUCGAGCCCCGGUGGGGUCACCA
rnacentral:tRNA from 1 species